UCAGUGUGUAUAGCGAAUUAAGGCGAUUAGAAACACAUCGCACACACAGAUAUGCGAUGGCUGUGGCUAAAUGAUGUAUUAAUUUAUAAUAGAAUUGUUGUAAAAUGUGUUGCGGCUGUCAUAAUAUCUAUAUCUUUGUAUUAGUUUAAUAAGUAGAGGUUGCAACAGCCACUUCCUCUGCUAUCUCAAUUUCUCACUUCUUCCUCUUAAGUUUGAGACUCAUCUUUUCUAUAGGGUUUUCGUUUUCCUCUCUAUGGCCUCUGCUGACAUCGAGUUUCGUUGCUUCGUCGGAGGGAUCGCCUGCGCCACCGACAACGAUGAGCUCGAAAGGAGAUCAUCGAAUCGAAGAUCAUCAAUGACCUUGAGACCGGAUUCGUCACCUUCAACAACAUAAAAGGUAGCAGCCGGGGAGGCGGUGGUUACGGUGGCCAUCGUGAAGGCGGAGGUGGUGGCGGUGGUGGCCUUCGUGAGGGUAGAGGCGGUGAUACAGCCGUGGUGGUGGUAGCUAUGGAAACGGUGGUGGAGGUGGUGGGCAGGACGAUGAAUCUGGAAAUUAUGACUAAAAGAUAGAUUUGACUCAAGAAAUUAUUACACUAAUUAUGACUCAACAAUUACCUAGCUUGUUUUGAAUUUCAAGAACUCUUCAUGCUUUCUAAGUUAACUCUAGCUAGAACAAUAUGAAUUGUAGUUUGUAUGAACAAUUAUAUUUUGGAAUGAAGAAUUUUCUUUCCUUUGUAUA